rnacentral:rRNA from 1 species
GUCCUUUAGGAUUUAAUUUAAGGUCUGACCUGCCCACUGAUAAUUUGAAGGGCCGCAGUAAUUUGACUGUGCAAAGGUAGCAUAAUCAUUAGUUUUUUAAUUGAAAGCUUGUAUGAAGGGUUGGAUGAGGUAAAAUCUGUCUCUAUUUAAUUUAAUGUAGAAUUUAAUUUUUAAGUUAAAAAGCUUAAAUAUUUUUAAAAGACGAGAAGACCCUAUAGAUCUUUAUAUAAAUUAAUUUAAUUUUAAUAAAGAAUAAUUAAUUUAUUAAUUUAAUUUAUAUUUUAUUGGGGUAAUAAGAAGAUUAAAUUAAUUCUUUUUAAGUUAAACAUUAAUGAGUGGUUAAGAGAUCCAAUUUUAUUGAUUUUAAGAUUAAGUUACCUUAGGGAUAACAGCGUAAUUUUUUUAGAGAGUUCAUAUCGAUAAAAAAGUUUGCGACCUCGAUGUUGGAUUAAAAAUUAUCUUAGGUGCAGAAUUUUAAGAUUUUGGUCUGUUCGACCAUUAAAUUUUU